AUUGAACGCUGGCGGCAUGCUUUACACAUGCAAGUCGAACGGUAACGGGUUAAGCUGACGAGUGGCGAACGGGUGAGUAAUGCAUCGGAACGUGCCCGGUCGUGGGGGAUAACGCAGCGAAAGCUGCGCUAAUACCGCAUACGAUCUGAGGAUGAAAGCGGGGGACCGUAAGGCCUCGCGCGAUCGGAGCGGCCGAUGUCAGAUUAGGUAGUUGGUGGGGUAAAGGCUCACCAAGCCGACGAUCUGUAGCUGGUCUGAGAGGACGACCAGCCACACUGGGACUGGAACACGGCCCAGACUCCUACGGGAGGCAGCAGUGGGGAAUUUUGGACAAUGGGCGCAAGCCUGAUCCAGCAAUGCCGCGUGCAGGAAGAAGGCCUUCGGGUUGUAAACUGCUUUUGUACGGAGCGAAAAGGCUCUCUCUAAUACAGGGGGCUCAUGACGGUACCGUAAGAAUAAGCACCGGCUAACUACGUGCCAGCCGCCGCGGUAA
rnacentral:rRNA from 1 species